ensembl:snoRNA ACEA small nucleolar RNA U3
AAGACUGUACUUUCAGGGAUCAUUUCUAUAGUUUCUGACUUGGAAAUCUGAUUCGAAAGUGCUGCGUCUCUCUAACCGCGAUGACGAGUCGCGACGCUUCCCUCUGAGCGCGAAUCGGAUGGAGAGUAAUGAGUCAAAUCAUCCGCUCUUCAUCAUUGAUGACCGUUCCUGCUGUGUCUCACAGCCAGGAGGAGGGAGGUGUGAGCAGAGCGGCU